UCAGGUAGGGAUACCCGCUGAACUUAAGCAUAUCAAUAAGG
rnacentral:rRNA from 1 species